rnacentral:sRNA from 1 species
GAGACAAAAUUGACUUUUGUGAGACAAAAUUGACUUUUGUUAGACAAAAUUGACAAAAUUGAAUUUUGUCUCACAAAAGUCAAUUUUGUCUCACAAAAAUU